GCGUUCAUUCAAGUUUCCUUCCAAACUUUUCAAUCCAAUUUCCUACCACAGUUUCAUUCUAUUUUCCUACAAAUAACAUACAUCCAUUAAUUAAUUAAUUUCGAUUCACUAUUUAAAUCAAUCAAUUUUGAUCUUUAAAAUUGUCAAAAAAAAGAAAAAUCCAAUUGCUGAAAAAAUAUAAUUUAUUAAUUCAUUCUCAAAUGUGAUACAAUCAGUAUUUAUAACUUUUUAACAACAUUAUAAAACAUUUAUGGUUGUGUUGCAUCGUCUUCAUCAUCAACGCUCAGGGUUACCGAAUAAGGAUGAAGAGCUUGUUGCAUUCCAUGAGGUAUUUGAUCUAAGCAUCUUUCUCCAAUUCAUGUGCCUUCAAUGUUUGAAUCUCUUCUUGUUAAUAACUUCACCACUGAUACAUGGUAUUCAAAAUGAAAAAUUAUGAAACAUUAGUAUGUAUUAAGCAUGUUAUUUAGUUAUCAAAACCAUAUGUAUGACACAUUACGAACUGUUUUAGUUAUCAAAACCAAAUGGCCAUAAAAAAGAAACAGAAAAGAAGGUGCUACUUACCUCAGAGAAGACUCACCAAAUAUCAAUCUGAAAGCAAAAAUCAAUAGUCAAUGAAUAUUGUGAGAUUACUUAGAAAUUCAUAGGAAACAACCAUAUCAAAACAGAUUGUAAGAUGCCUUAAACUAAAAGUUGACGAACUUAGAAAAAG
rnacentral:lncRNA from 1 species